AGAAUCAGUUGAUACUCGGUGCUUGACAUAUAAACAUGAGCCUCAUAUCGAUUCGAACAUGAAUCAAAUAAGAAAACAUCUAUAGAUGUAAUUGUAAGAAUGUUUUCCUUCCAAAUGAGUGACAAACAAAUGGAUGGAUGGAUAUAUGUACAUAAUACAAUGACGUUGAUGGGACCAGAUGGAUUCGAUCGCGAACGAAUAUAAUUUUCUUACUUGUUUUAUUUAAAUUUUGGAAGACAUUCUCUAAACUAAAAACUUAUACGAAAACAGCAAACGGUUUUUUGACGAAUUCUGCGCAUACCUCGGAAAGAGCUUUUAAUGCGGCAGUCACAGAAGAUACCGUGUAAAGUCUUAUAUAGAGACUUUAAUAAGUAUUCCAAUCUUUAAGCACAGAAAGGUGGGGGAGGAUUGAGAUAUGUCAAAUAUUUUCUUCGAAAUACGCAUAAGGCGACAUGAUCGGCAUAUAGGUAGUGUUAUUGUUUGUGCGUCUGCUUGUUAACCUACUGAUCUCAAAAUUUUCUUAUUGCUGUCAUCAGGUCAAAAUCGAAAUUCAACAAAAUCAAAUACAAGUUGCAAACGAUGCACAGACAUCUGAAGUGUUGGAUGCAUUAGAAUGCUGUGGAAAACCGAAAAAAUAUUAAUUGCUUUCCACAAAGAAACUGGAAAUCGGACAAAUAACAAUACAAAGUGUGUUAAAAUCACAUCAGAUUUAAAUGAAAGCUUAUUACAAUCGAACAAGGCCACAAAUAUGUUAUCUCGAAAAUUUAGCCAGUAUGUCCUGGAGACAAUAUUCGAAAACAUAAGAAGGCACUGCGGAGCUCAUGAAGAUUUCCUGAGAUUAUGUAGUAAAAAUCAAAUACAACUAAUUUUAUGAUAAAAGCUUCUACGCUGAGUGAAAUCGAAGGCAUAUUAAAUUAAUCUAAAUAAUAAGUUUGUAGUUAAAUUAACAUUUAACUUGCAUUUAGAAAAUAUUAAUUAUUCAAUUACCUUGAGAAAAUCUCCAAUUAAAGAAGUAUAAAGUUCAAGUAAAAGAUUAGAAAAAUUAUUUUCAUUUUAUAUUAAAUAAAUGCAUAUAAAAAUAAAAUUUAUAUAUA